rnacentral:rRNA from 1 species
UAGGGAAUAUUGCUCAAUGGGGGAAACCCUGAAGCAGCAAACGCCGCGUGGAGGAUGAAAGGUUUUCGGAUUGUAAAACUCCUUUUGUUAGAGAAGAUAAUGACGGUAUCUAACGAA